rnacentral:rRNA from 1 species
UACGGAGGGGGCUAGCGUUGUUCGGAAUUACUGGGCGUAAAGCGCACGUAGGCGGCUUUGUAAGUUAGAGGUGAAAGCCCAGGGCUCAACCCUGGAAUUGCCUUUAAGACUGCAUCGCUUGAACAUCGGAGAGGUAAGUGGAAUUCCGAGUGUAGAGGUGAAAUUCGUAGAUGAUUCGGAAGAACACCAGUGGCGAAGGCGACUUACUGGACGAUUGUUGACGCUGAGGUGCGAAAGCGUGGGGAGCAAACAGG